rnacentral:rRNA from 1 species
UACAGAGGGGGCAAGCGUUAUUCGGAAUUACUGGGCGUAAAGGGCGCGUAGGCGGUUCUUUAAGUCGGAUGUGCAAUCCCCGAGCUCAACUUGGGAACUGCAUCCGAAACUGGGGAGCUAGAGUGCUGGAGAGGGUGGUGGAAUUCCACGUGUAGCGGUGAAAUGCGUAGAGAUGUGGAGGAACACUAGUGGCGAAGGCGGCCACCUGGACUGAUACUGACACUGAGGUGCGAAAGCGUGGGGAGCAAACAGGAUUAGAAACCCUUGUAGU